GCGGGCAUAGCUCAGUGGUUAGAGCGCCUGACUGUGGCUCAGGAGGUCGUGGGUUCAAUUCCCAUUGCCCGCCCCA
rnacentral:tRNA from 1 species